UAGAAAAUAAUAUAGAGGAAGUAUGGAGGGUUUUGAUCUCUUCCGCGUAGGUUCGAUUCCUACUUUUCUAA
rnacentral:tRNA from 1 species